rnacentral:lncRNA from 1 species
UCUGAUUUAGCCAUGGGCGUUUUUAAAAUCGAAUUUCAAGUAAAGGGAAAUUUUUUGACCUCAUUUGGCAGUCGAAAGUGGCUCUGGUGGUGGCGAUCGGCUUCCUUCUCGCCGGCUGGAUCUUCUUCUCCGGUCGGGAGGGGGGUCUGGCAACUACGAUUAGGGUUUGGUGUGAAGAAAGUUAUUUAUAUAUGUUCUCUUUUAAUCUGGGUCGUCUAUCGUGUUUAAUCUGGACCGUCCGAUCGCGAUUAAAUAGGGAUUGAAUUUGUGCCAUUCAU